ACAAAAAGCUAUCUCCCCAAACUUCUGGCUGGUAUAUGGACGAUAUGUUAUGCCACCAACCACCAGAUUGCGUCUGAUGACCAUUACAGACUUAUGGUUUCUGUCCAUCACAAGACGAACAAUAUAUUCCUUAGGCAUGUUUGGUAGUUGCCUUGCGAAUAUAUUCUUCAAUCCUACUAACCAAAUCAUAUGCUCAUCAACUCCAUCGUUUGAAACACAUACAAACUUGAGUCUUCCUGAUUCCUCCUCCCUCUUUAAGCUCUCUUCCCUUGCUGUAUAAGCACCGCUAGUCUGUAAAUUUUCAGUAAAAAUAUUCUUCAUACUCUCAUCCUUCACUACCGCCCCUGAAACAGAACCAGUGGCAGUAGGUGGUGCAACAUUACCGGAACAACCAGUACCAACUUCUUUUGCUAUCUCGGAAGACUCAAUUUUCACUGAAUUAUCACUCUUAAUCUUAGUGUUCCUCCCUGAAGGUACCAUAGCCACGCUAGUCUCCAAACGCGAGGCAGUGAAAUUGCGAAUGGAAGAAGCAUCAUAAUCUUCUUCGUCAUCAUCGCCGACCUCUUCGGAGUCAUCUUCGGAGUCGGAAUCUGCACCGCCUCCGCGGGCGCUGAUACUCUCUAAGUCAUCGUUGGAGGUAAGAGCGCCGUCGCGCGUGUCGGAGAAAGAGGACGGGAAAGGCGGCGCGUGGUCAUCAGAUGCCAUCUUGCGUUUGUGGAUCGAUGAGGUCGCUGAGGCCGACGCAGAAUGUGAGGGUGACGGCGAUUGUGAACUCCGGGAUCGGCCCGGCGCCGUCAAGUGCGAAGCGUCCAUUUGAAACAACGAUUCGGUUCGAAAUUUUUGAAAUUCAGGAUUUAUGAACGGGGCAGGG
rnacentral:misc_RNA from 1 species